GGUCAGCUAUUUGCAUGUAGUGUGGUUAAAGGCAGCACAUCUAAUGCUGAGGCCCCGGGUUCAAAUCCCGGUCUGGUCA
rnacentral:tRNA from 1 species